rnacentral:tRNA from 1 species
CAGGGAGACAACAAAAUGUUUAAUAUUAUUAUUUUGUCACCUUAGGUCGAUCGGUAUCUCACGUUCUUAAUUUAUUAAGAAUUUCAUUCCCUAAGUUUUUCUAGGUCACACCCAUUUUUUUCCUGGGCCAUUAGCUCAGGUGGUUAGAGCGCACCCCUGAUAAGGGUGAGGUCCCUGGUUCAAGUCCAGGAUGGCCCAUAUCUCUAUGUUGGGGGUAUAGCUCAGUUGGUAGAGCGCCUGCUUUGCAAGCAGGAUGUCAGCGGUUCGAGUCCGCUUACCUCCACUGAUUACCACCUCUUCCAUAAUCUGUAGAAAGGAAAAAAUUUUGAGUUAUGACCAUUAUUCUGGACGAAUCCAGCUUCCUAAUGAAAUCAUUAAGACGCUGGACUCAUUGAAUUAAUUUCAUUGUUUUCAGAGAACCUUGACAACUGCAUAGAUUAUUUUAAAGACAAUAAGCAUCUUUAAUGAUGCAGAUUUAUUAUUUGUGCAAAUGCAUUAAUAACAAUUCUAUUAAGCUGAUGCUUCAAUUUUGAAGUUAUU